CCGUUCCUCCGUAAAUCUUACCCCACGAGGCCACGACCGCCGUUCCUCCGUAAAUCUUACACACGACCACCCCUCCCACCACCCCCAAAUCGUGUGCGUGCGGUUCGGGUAGAAUCGGUGCGGCCGGCGGCGAUUGGCGGCAGACGAAUUACGGCGCGCGAGAGCACAAUCGUAGCGGCGGCGCCGGCGGUGCCGCGGUCGGCCACGGCAGAGCGGCGGCCGCUAGGGCCUGAACCAGGAGCAGCUCGACUCAACUGAGCCGGACCAGAGUGCUCCGCCAAUGGUUCCUCUCCUAUUUGCUCGUGGGAUGCUGGGGAUGAGCCGGAUGGAGGUUACGGCGCGCGGCGGGGAAGGAUCGUCGCUGCAGCUGGAGGGGAGCAGCUGCGGAGACGGCGAGCUGGCGGGGGCGCAUGUGCGGUGGCGGCUGUACCGGGAGAGCACGUUGGCGCGGCACACGGGGCUGCGCGGCGCCAUGGCCGACCUCUCCUUCCUGCUCGCGAGGGGGGCGCCCAACCUCCUGGGGUUCCUUCGCUCCACCGCCUCCGCCUCCGGCUACUCGCAGCUGCUCCUUUUCCGCCACUCCCAGUCCAUCCCUGAUCUCCAAGGCUUUGAUAUUGCAAUUACCAGUGGGUGCUUUGAUGUUGGAUCAAGCUGUCUUGCACCUGUUCGGAAUGCCUGUGAGAGUGUUUUUUUUUGGGUAUACUGCAGGCUUGCGCACUACUGACCAUGAUUCCACCUGUUAAUAGAUUGUUUGGAUUUCCACUGGUUUUUACUAUGUUUAGAUUAUCAAGAAUGCAAUGCUUACUGUGUUUAAAAUUCAUUUUCCAUGAUUCUCAAUGAUAUAUGACUGAAAAAAAGGGUCUCAAUGACAUAGGAAGGCUCUGGCCUUGGGAGGCUUGCUCGUUGUCUAUUUUGGGGAAUCAGGUUCUGAUUCCAUUAGAAACGGGAACGCAAUAGAGGCAAUCUUUUCCUGUUUGCAAGAUGAUCUGCAUAUAUGACCUGCUAUGAAAUUUAGGCUAUUGUGUACAUGUAUGUCUUAUUUAUUUAUUUCCAGACUGAGUAGAUUUCGUGGAUCUAUUUGUAAUCUCAAACUAAAAGCAUUUACCAAUAUUUUUACCUAAACUCAAACAACACGUCAGAACUAUGUUUUAUCUAUUCAUAGAACAUUGGAAGAUGUUGUCUUCUUAUUUUCUAGCACAACUGUUUCGAGAGCCUGAUGUGAUUAUUUAAUUACAACUAGUAAUUACUCUACUUGUUCGUGCAAGCUAAUUUCAUCAAGCUGUAUACAAGAUAUGUAAUCACACCAGUUUUUACUGAAUACUACUAGGUGGGUAGAAUUGUGCUGUAGGAUCGAGGUUGUCCAGUCUGUCGUAAACAGGGGAAAAACUAUUCAGACCGGUCAGAUUUCACUGGCUAUGAAAACGCGUUAUUCCAGCUAGAGAGCAGCCUUCAUGGCAGGGCAACCAAGAUCCGUGGUCCUGUCCAUGGAUCUGACCAUGGGCAUGAAGUGUGAAGUCGUCGAGGGCUGGAAGAUAUGCAAGAGUGGCUGCAGCACUUUAGGGGCAAGGGCAAUAGAUAUGCAUAUACACAUUACGCAUGAUGCCUUCUGUGAAACCCGUCACUUAUUCCUGUCUCUAUUUUACUUGUUUUGUCAAAAAUCCUUAGGGUAUGGAUGUUCCCUCCCACUUCAUCAAUAGCAGAGGAAGCUCUUCACGCAUCGCCUGGGUUAGCCGUUGAGAUAUGGAUUUUAUGGAGAAGUUAUAAGGGAGUGUCAAAACUACGGAUGGAUUGGCCCUGCACGCCAUGAUUUUUCUGGAGCAAUGGUCUUUCUGAAGCACAGAUCUUAUGAGGCAAAAGUGGCUUUUUUCUUGAGAAUAUUAGCACUCCUUUACUUAUGGCUUCAGAAGGGAAUGUUGCAAAUGGAGCACAGACACUACAAUCUCGUCAAAAAAGGCCUCCAAAGAUCAUCCGCCGAACAAAUUGUUAUAGAUGCAAAGAAAUUUUAACACAUGGACAAAGUUCAGGAGACGGGUCCCAGAUAGCUCUUGCAAUUUGUCACGGCUCUUUCAGAGUAGUUGGCAUUGGAAGGUGAUCACAAUACCUAUUCCGAAAUUACUUAACUGUGCUGAGUUACUUCUCAGUUCUCAACCAAAGGAAAGUACUUUAUGUCCGUUUACUUUCACUCAAGUGGAACUUAGGCAUCACAGAAGCUAGAGCGACACAGGAAAUAUACUUCAAAACCUUUUUUUUUUGUAUUCUUGAAAUUGUCAGUUCGUAAGAAGCAAGAGGGACACAGAACAUAUACAUAAAAAACCAUUUGUCUUGUUACAUCUUACAUGUUGAAAUUGUCUCCCAUUUUAAGGAA